CGUUAUAUGCCACUUUUAAUUUAAAGGAAACAUAAUUACUUUAAUUUCCAUAUGAUCCUGAUGGGAAAAUAUUUAUAUUCAGAAAUUUGGGAGUGUCCUUUUGAGGCCAAACACUGUUGGAUUUGCCUGGGUGGAUUGUUCUCUGAUUCUGAUCUUAUUAGGUGGAGUGAAUAAAUUCCAUUUUGUGAAUAUUAGAAUAUAUCUACCAUGCAAAUACAAUUUCUUAAUAUUGGGGUCAGGGUUGGUACUAUGGGAUUAGACAAAUAAUAUUUGAUCCUGAUUUUUUUUUUAAAUUUAAUUAGUAGCAGUCCUAGAUUAAUGAUAGAAAUAUUUAGCUGUUGGAUAGUGCAGUUCGUUUUUGUCUGGUAAGAACUUGAAAAAGGUGGGUAAAUGUAAGAACCGAAACUUUUGGGAAAGAAGGUCAGGAAAGUAUGAUAAGCUUCAUCUCCUAAACAGGAAAGUGGAGUUCUAAUACACUUUUGAAUGAAUUGCAGUAGCUGAUCUUGCACUGCCUUUGGCACAGCGGAUUAUUGCUUAGGCCUUGCUGGGUUUAUAUUUGAGGUCAGAAUCCUGAGCCAUAAUACAAACUUUCAAGAACACAUCUUUGAAAUUAGUUGCAGACUUGUUUUGAAAAUAUUGAAGUUUUCUUGAAACUUAGGGUCAGCUGCAUUCUAGUUACUUAAAUAUUUAUUUGCAAGAAAAUUUGACUUUUGAUGAAUCAAGAGACUUUUUGAAAAAGUCAUCUCCCAAGAACUAGUUAACUGUAUUGAAUGUCUAUGUUCUCUCAUAGUGUCCUAAAUUUGUGAGUUUGUGUCCUGUUAAUUUCCCCAAAACUAAAAUUAAGAAUAAUAGUUAUUUGCACCUUUCGUUAUAGCUAGUCUAUUUAGCAUGUUUAGGUUCAUAUUUAAGGACAUGUUGCCAAAAGAUGAACAUUUAUAGCAUGUGGUUACCAUUUCAGUUAUAUUUGUGUCCUGACCUCUUUUGAAAGUUUGCUAUAAUGUGUGUUAAUUCUGCUGCUGCUCUUCCAUUUGGUUCUGUUCCUUAAAUUCAGCUAUUUUCAAUUUUUUUCGUUCUGGCCAAAGUAACAGUGAAUUGUGAAUUAGUGAAUACUAACGAUUACUUUUUUAGGGGAGGAGGGGAGCAAUGCAAGAUUUUCUCAUAGUAUUGGAAAACAGCCUGUAUGUGGAAGUGAAUGAAGACAAUUCCCGUUCUAUUUUAUUUCUGAAAGAUGUGCUUUCUCAGGUGUGAGAGGAAACAGGAUUUUACUAAGGUGACUUGCUCUGGGUAAGAUGAGUCUUUUCUCCACUCCUGGAAGGACAUAGCAGAACACCAAACUGGUAUUUGUUGGUGUAUGUAGGGACUAAGAGUGUGCUGUGAGUUGUUUGUUUACACGGCUAUGCUUAAGCUCAGACAGAGAUCUUUAGGAAAUCAUAGUAAGCUAGAUAAACAACAAUUUGCAACGCUGACUCUUUCUUUUUGCUAUUUCAGAUAGCAGUUGUCAUAGUAAGGAAAGCCCAGACAGUAGAGGGAAGACCUUCUCUAAGGGAGACUAUGAGAACUGUGUCAGCAGAAGUUGGGAACUGGCUUCAAAAUUUAGCUUUUUCGUGGCAGCACUUGGUACGUCCAGCUGGGAAAACAAGUAGAGUGGAUUCUCUCUGUAGCUCUAAUUAGGAUCAAGGUUAUAUGUGAAUUUCUGAAGGCAGAAUAUCACUUACUGAUUUUUAGAAAACGGAUGAAGUACCCUCAUUUGCGAUUGCAGAGGGUGGAAGCUGUUUGUGGUAUCAUAGGCCCGGGGAAGGGCUUAGUCUGUGAUUUCCAGCUAGGACAUUCAGAGCUGGUGGUAGGGAGCAAGUACUUGUCUUUUGGAAAACUGAAGCUGGAAGUGAAUUAAAACUGAUGCAUGUGUAUGCUUAUUGAAACUUAUACUUACCAAUACUCUAAGUAAAUAAUGUUUAUUACAACUUAGGGAACACAUGACAAAAAUAGAGCUAUAUACCUGCUUUGUAGUGUGGGAGAGUUUAGUCUUGUAAUGAAAAGAACAAACUUUUAGGUACAGCUUCUUUUAUUUCAUGCAAUAAAUCUUCCGUUUACAAUAUUUAAAGUGUGAGUAUUUAGUAAAAGUCAGAGAACUGAGAAAUAUAAUUUCCUCAGUGAUCUUCGUUCUGUCCUUUUACAGAUGGCAUAAAAUCAGGUGUGUAAAAAAAAUUGAGUUAGUUGAGCUGACAUGAAAGGUAUUUCAGAUUUAUGUUUUGCAGAUGAUAUUGGUAUGAUUAAUGUAUUCAUUGCUUUUUUUUAUUGCUUCGCACAGAUAAUGUUCGUGAUGCAUGGAAAAUUCUGUGUCUUUAAAAUCUAUGCCAGGUUUACAAAGUUUGUAUAUGUCAACAGAUGUUAAGAAUAUAAACACAACUUUUAUUAUAAAGUUGUGCAAAUGUGUAGACAUGAACUUGGUUUAUGUAUAUUAUUUUCAGCAUGAGAAUGAAAUGAAACUUCUGUGAAACAAGAGUUAUUUAGAUUCCUGAAGCUUUCAGGCUGAGAUUAGCUUGGUUAAAAGCGAUCAGAAAUGGGCUGCCUUCUUCCUAACUGACAAGCUAAUGACACUUCUGGCUUACAGAGUUAUUUUGCAACACAGAGCUUAAAACUGCUGAUGCUGUUUGUUAUUUUGAAGAUACAUUUUCAUGAAAAUGGGCUUUUGGGAUACACUUCUCUAAAACAAGUUGGAAACAGUUUGAAAUCCCAAUAUAAAACCUCUGGUUAAUUUUACUGCUGUGGGUGCCUGGCACGUGCGAGUCCUGAUGUCCUGGCUAAAACAGUGUUAGUGUUCCUGGUGUCCUGUACUCCACGACAUGGUGCAGGCCCAAAGAGAAGUGUCUGAUGCCUGACAAGACUUGUUUCUCGCCCUUCAGCUGAGCAGCUCCUGACUGAGAUGUUUGGUUCCUCUCCCACUGCGGUGCUAUUACUACUCUUGUCUGUUCUCCGUGCUGCCCGGCUUACCACCGAAGCACGGUAACAUAUGGAGGCAAAAGAGUUUUUUCUUUAUCUUCCUCAAAGACCUGUUUUUGUUUCCUUUACUUCAAGAUAGCCUUGUGGGUAGGUGUUCUAAAUCUUGUAUAAGAUACGCUAACUGUGGGAAUAAACACAAACACAGCUGAACUCCAGAGGAGAAUGCCUUAUCCUCUGGAGUAGGUGUAUUUAUCAUACUGAUACAUCAUUUCCUCCUUGUCGAUGCUUUGUUGUUAGCAGUUGCAUGUAUUAUUGAUACUGCUUAAUAGCCUGUAGGCAGCAACCUAUUAGAAUUUCAUGUCUCUUACCUCAAGGAGGGUUGUUUAGGUGUGCUUACUUAAAAGAGAUCCCCUGCUGAAUUAUCUGCUAGAGAGCUCAGAGACCUUAGUGAGAAUGGAGACGUGAUCAUGUUAGAUAACAUACGGAGUUGCGGUACUUUUCCUGGAGCGCAUGCGUUCAGAAGCUCUGGCCGUACUAUUUAAUUGCAAUGAACAGAUCCUGUUAUACUCUUAAAGACCUCUUUACUUCAGCAGGGCUUUGUUUGAAGGAAAAGGUCUGACUGUGAGGGUGAGGCCUGGCAGAAUUGGGGUGGAUAGACUUAGACUGCUCUCCAGGAGAUCUCUGAGAUGGUUCUGGGUGAAGAUGAGCCACCAUAAACUUUACAGUUAUAUCAGAGCUUAUUAAAUUGUCUUUUUUCUUGUCUACAGGUGUACUUUCUAUAGCCAUCGACUGGCAACAAGGCAGCAAAACCCAGGGCUAGUAUCACAGCCUGUUUUCCUCUUGUGUUUUUCCUCUGUUGUUGUUGUUCCUUUGUGAGCUGGCAGAGAACAGAAAAGUGAAUCUGGCUUUUAAAAUGUGCUGGGGAGAACUGUUGUGGGAGGCAGGAAGAACAAAAAAGUUAUCUGGGCUUUCAGGCUACUUUGUAUCCCCAAAAAGGCAUGUUUUAAAGCCUGUUAAUUACUGUUUCUGUGUGACUGCAACAAAAAGUUCAUCUUCAGGCUAGAGAGCAAGCAGCUUGUUUCCAGUCUGCCAAAGCUAAAUUCAAAACCGUGAUAGAAGUGUAAUUGGCACUUUCAGACUGUACCAGUAGGUUUUACUAGUUAUAGUUCUGAGAUUCAGAAAGGAAACUGCAGAUUGGACAAAUGUUUGAAAGUCAGUAAUCCAGGGAGGGUAGAAUUGCUGAAUACCUUCAUGUCCUGACCUAUAUCUCAGGAAUUUCCUGGAAUUUUCUCAGUAUUUCAUCUCACUGAACUUCAUGAGGAGUGAUCAUGCAAAGGGGACAGAGUUAGCUUCAAAUCCAGAAUUUCUGCUGAAAACACUUUGCCCACCUGUUCUUACAAAUUGCGCUUACAGGUAAUUCAGAAAUUCAGUUGAAGAUCUCUUUUUGGUUUAGUACUUUGCAUGGAGCCAGUCUGUUUUUUUUCUGACCAGUCGUGUUAGUUUCUUGCUUGGGUUGUGUGGACAGACCUGACAACCGAGGAGGAAGGAGUAGUAACACAGAAAACUCCUCUGGAAGUGGUGAAACAUGAAACUUGGGUUUCUAGGGAUUUAUCCCCCCUGUCGUCUUUGCCAUUACUCAAAUACUUCCAGCUCUUCUCCCUCAUGAUGUCCCUCCAGCUUCAUCUUGUGCCUGACUCUGAACUGGGCAGGAGGCAGCAUGGCUAUGAAUGGCUCCAAGCACCAUAUAUGCUGGCUGGUUUGCUUACAGGCAAAUGGAAGAGCAGUGUUGAGCCCUCAGUUUGGGUCCUUCUCUGUCCAACUGCUAAAAAUUUGCAGGAACAUUGUAGCUUUGAAAAUUCCAUGUCUCUUGUCAAAUUUAGUUAAAUUUGACCAGAGGGUUUAGGGGGAAACUGCCUGUGUGAUUGCAUUUCCUUAGGUAAUCAUGCAAAAGUAAAAAAUACUGUUGCAGAAUUACAAAGGUGGGCAUGUUUGCUGAUGGUCAGGUUCAGUAUUUACAACUGUUUUCCUUUAUGGGAUAAUUUUAAAAUGAAGGCUUUUAUAAUUUCAUCUAGCCUUUUUCCAAAAAAGGAAAGUAGAUGCAUGAGACCUCUGAUGUCAUUUUAGAAAAUGACAGGAAAUCAAGUGCUUUAAAACUUUUAGAAGUUAUUUUAAAUACAUUUUCUGUUUUGGUGACACAGGACACAGGUGAAAGAUGAGCCUGAGCAGAGAUGAUAGGAAGGAAACUUUGGAGAACUUCGUGUAGUGAGAGUAGAAGCACAUGUGUUUCGUUGUGAGUGUGGAAUCUCGUUUUUCUGCAAACUUUUUUGAAAGAGAUGUGCAAAAGUUCUAGAGCUGUUAAAUAAUUCUUCUCACUUUGCAUUUCCUUUCUAAAUUUGCUAGCUGUUUUGCUUGAAAUCCAGAAUAAAGUCUAGAGCAAACUCUCACAGAACACAUUACUAUAAAGAGUAGUAGACGCCCUUUUUUCCUCAUUGAAAUGCCAGCUAUUUUCCUUUUGCCGUAGGAAGACAUACUCAGUUUUGUCCCUUUAAAUUGCUUGUGGCUAUAUAUCAUGGUUAUAAUAUGGUUAUAUAUCCAAAGUAAUUUGGUCGGAUAUGCAGUGAAAUUCUUUAUUUGUUUUAAUCAUCUUACUUGGUGAAAAUCCCUUGGCAUGGGUCCUUUUCUUUAUGUACCUUUACUUUGUGAAGCUCUUCAGGACCAUUCAUCAAGUUUACCCUAUGGAACUGCAAUAGCGGGGACAUAUUCUUAAUGAGUUAGUGCUGUGCUGGUUGCUCCAAUCACUUUAGCUUAGUUUAACUUACUGUACAAUAAUGCUGAGCAUGUCUGAAUGUAAUCUGUGUCGAUACUUCCUUUUCUGAGUCCCGGCACAUUGCUUUGUCUUCUGUGUUGAUCAAAGAUUGGAAAAUUUGUUUUUAUAUGCAUAGGCAGUGAAUUUCAUUGCUGUUUUAUAUACUUAAUCUUUUGGCUGUUUGGCUGAAAUAUGUCCACGCCUUUUACGUAUUGAAAACAUAAUAUCCUUUAACCUACAAUCUGUGGAGUUAAAAUGAAUUUUAUUUCAAAUAUUCAGUCGUGGACCACAUCUCCAGCUUUUUAUAUGCCACAGUGGUCUUGUUUUUUUUCUUCUCCAUUGUCUGAUAGUGAGGUCAUUUUCAGUCCUCUGAGAAACUUUAUUCCCAGCCAGAUGCGGGCCAUAUAUUAAAAGUAGCACCUGUGGCUAAUAUCACAGCAGCUUACCAUAAAUUUACAUGGUAACUAGGAUUAUAUCUGUCAAGACUGUUAAAAAAUGUCUAGAUUUAAUUUGAUUUCCAGUAUUGAAGGAGCUCUCCAACAUUUUGCUUCAUAACUAUAUUUUAAAAGUUAAAAUCACUCCAUUGUUAAGUUUUAUAGCACUCCCAGUGCCCAUUAAGUUGAUUUGUUAAAUGGAGGUCAGAAUAAAGCAAGUUGGCUACAUUAGGAUCGGAAACCAACCCAUUUGUGACAAAUUUAGUCCUCGCGUGUGAAUCUUCUCAAAGCCUCGGUACUGAUUGGUUUCAGGUGUAGCUUAUGUCAGUUUUGCUUAACCUCAAAGAAAGAGCAACAUGAGUCCAUUAUUGUCAGUUAUGCUAACCAAAAGACAAACCCGUUUUCAUUUGUUUGGGGCGUUCGUUUUUUUUAAUGUAAUGUUUGACUGCUUGCUCCCUCACUUUAGAAUUUUGCAUUAGAUUACCUGUUGAAUGAAAAGAAGUGAUUUUUUUAUCCAUCUAGGUAAGUGCUGUUUUUCAUAUAGACUUUCCUAAACUGCUUCAUUUUCCAUUAUCCUUUGAGUCCUCUCCCAUAUGCUAUGAUUUGUGCACCUGCAAAGUUAUGAAAGUAUUUCUUUUGGUAGUUACGUUGUUCACUAACUUCCCUGCAUUUAUGAAUACAAUAACUGAUUUACAAUAAAUCAGAAUUAUUUAUGAGUGGAUUUACAGAGUUGAGAAAAUCUUUGUAUCUGAAAAUAAUGAAUUUCUGGCCUAUCUGCCUGUUGACGUUUUCCUUUAUUAGAAACUGAUAGUGAAAUUUUCAGGACUCGCAAAGGUUAACUAGCAAGCUAAACCAGAGCGAAUGAACUGGCUCAACUGGCUCAGAACCUCGCAUAGUAAAAAUAUAUUAUUCCUAGAUGAUCACACCUUCCUCGAGUUUAUACUUGUGAUUGACUUAGUAAAUAACACUCUUGCCUCUGAGUCAGGAGGUCAGCGGGUCAAGUUCCAGCUGCGGGACCUGGACGCUUUCCACCUACCCACAUCCCUGUAUGGCAGUGGCUCCGAGAGGCUGGCGAGCUCCAAGUGUGCACGCAACUAAAUGAAGUUCCUUGGGAGAUCGUUCAUUUGAAAGCUUAAGAUUCUUCUUCCCUGGCUUUAAGAGAGAAGGAGGUGACAGUAGUGGCCUGGUCAACACAGCCUGUUUCCAAUAAUAAUUCCAGUUAACUGGCAGCCAGCAGUUUUUCUACUGAUGAGAAAUGCUGCAAAGCUAGAAAGUUUAUUGUGAUGGAAAUAUUUAAUCUGUUUGCAUCUGGGCAGAAAUUAAAUUCUUGGAGCUGGGAAGUACUGGAUUUAUUUUCUUCUCAUGGCCAACAUGGCUCAUGGGGUACAAGAACACAUGUAAAGUCAGACUGAAAAUAUUCUGGAGCACGGACUGAUGUGUUUUACACUUGCUAACUUUUUUCCUAUUUUAAAUGUAGGUGCCUUAGUGCAUCAGUGGGCUCUGUCUUUUAAAGUUCUUCACGGUUUAGCCUUUCCUCAUAUAUCUGGGUAGCUAUAUUACUGUAAAACCUGCUUCACUUUAACAGUAUGCCACUUAUGCCUGUUUUAAUCAGGUAUUUCCCUAUUUAAUACUUCUGCACUCCUGGCAAACCAUUGCUUUAUUCUCCAAUUUCUUCCUUAAAACUUUGCUAUUAUAAUGCGUAUGAGAAACUCCUGCCAGAUAAAAGUUUGGCAGGUGGCAAGUUGUGAUUGCUCCUCUUCCUACUGUUUAGUCUCUUGUCCCCUCUUUGGCUAGGGUCUGUGCGUACAGAUCAUAGCGCAGCAGAGUCCGGUCUGUUUGGGACGGUAACAGUAUGGUAUCAGUGUCACCAUUAUAUCAUCAUCAUUGCACUACCACCAUUGUCAGGCUGUCAGGAUUAUUAAAAAUAUCACAACAUUAAUGGUAUUUAAAUGGAAUCCUUUUUAAUUGGAGUUUCAGGGUGGGCUUACGUACUUUGCUUUCUUUAGGGAUUGGUUUGUUGGUAAAUGCUAUUAGAUAAAAAUAAAACGUUAACUCUUCCCCCUAACUCUUGUCUUUUCCCCCCACCUUCCACCCUAAAAAAGAUCUUUACUACUUGGUGAGCAAAUCUUAAGAAUUCUGAGCUGGUAGCUGUAAUUGAAAGAUGAAGUAGAGGUGAAAUCCAAGAUGCCACUUCCUAGGUGUCUUAGAAGUUGCAUUUGCAUCAGUUUAAUUUUUCUUAUGACUUUACUGUGAUUAAGAACAGUAAUUUUAUUGAUGAGCUAAGCUGUAGCUAAGCCCUAUUUCUCCUCAAAAUAAACCAUUCUCUCUCUCUCUCUCUCUCUCUCUCUCUCUCUCUCUCUCUCUCUCUCUCUUUUAAUUUGUGGGGAAACUGCAUCUCCAGUUGCUGAGUAUGGCACACUGAGCAGACCUGUUGUAUAUAGACUUAAGCAGGCCAGUGCUUAAGGCUGUCCAACUGAUCUUUGGGCUGCUCUCCAGUUGGCUCUAAUACGAAUGCUUUCCUUAAAAGAUGGAUUUAUUAUCACUUAAGUAAAAAAUAUUACAGCGUUUGCCUUAUGCUUAUUUCAUGCAUUAAUCUGAAUAAAAAUAAAUUAUUUGUCAAUGCCUUUUGGAUUUCACAAGCAUUGUUGUAGAUUUGAAGAGGAGAAAUUUUUCUCCUUCUUUCAGCUAUAUGUAAUGCACAAAUGGAUUUAUAAUGAUUAUUCACUGUUUGAAUUAAACUGGACGAACUGUAUAUCAGCCAUACAGGCAUACUAAAAGAUAGCAAACAAGAGCAGGUCAACUGAUUUUAACUAAAGUUUGAACUCUUUCUUUGUUAAACUAACUUUGGCAAAUGUGGUAAUGGUUUUGAAUUCAGCUGGACCACUUCAUUUGGGAAAAUGUAAAUAAGAUUUAUGUUGCCUUUUCUAAAGAUGGUCACUCGGAAUAAUUUCUUUUACCUUUUCAGUUCAGGAAACCUCAUGCCUUAUAACUUUAUGCAUUAAAAUUUAUUUGUAUGGGGGUGCUGCAAAGACGCUGGUUUAGAUGCAAAGAGCACAUCUCUCCAGCUUGAUUAUGUUUAACCUUCUGCAUCCCCUUGCUUUUGGAAUCGUGCCUGACUACAUUUUAAAACUGUAAAGAACACCAGCAGUUCUCACUUUCUAGUAGUCCCCCUCCAAAAAAGCAUGAAGGAAAAGCAUGCUUUGGGAUAUUAUACUCUGCGAUUGUAAUUAAAAAUGGACUCUGGCUGGUCGAAUAAAAUAAAAUAAAAUUACAAUGCACCUAUUUAAAAAUUAACCAUUACUUGCCAAAAGCACAUCAAACCCACUUAGCGGACAUCCGUUAAUCCAGCGGUUAGCUGUUUCAGGCUUUAAUGCACACUGUUUUACACGUUAACGGUUUUGAAGUUCCAGGCCAGCGCUGACCUUUCACAUCUGCUCCUUUCACAGUAGGAAUCUCCACUUACUGCUUCCUGUCAGGCUGGAUUAGAGUGACAAAGUGCAGCGCUCGGGCUGGCUGCAAUUUCGUUUUUGAUCAGAAUUAUUUCUUUCACAAACAAUCACAUUUGCUAAAAUGUUACAUCUGCUCUGAAAAGCCACUGGCAGACCCACAGUUUAUCAGUGUGAUGUUUUUGUAAUUUGUGGGAGGCUGAAAGACUGAAGCUAUUAUCAACCAUUAUAUGUUAUUCGUUGACCACAUGUUUGUUUGAAAUGGCCAUCACUUGGUGGAAUGUG